GAUGAAGAACGUAGCGAAAUGCGAUACUUGGUGUGAAUUGCAGAAUCCCGUGAACCAUCGAGUCUUUGAACGCAAGUUGCGCCCGAAGCCAUUAGGCCGAGGGCACGCCUGCCUGGGCGUCACACGUCGUUGCCCCCCCAUCUACUCCUUCGGGAUUGCGGGGGGCGGAUGAUGGCCUCCCGUGCGCCUCGUCGCGCGGUUGGCAUAAAUGCCAAGUCCUCGGCGACGCACGCCACGACAAUCGGUGGUUGCGAAACCUCGGUUGCCCGUCGUGUGCGGUCGUCGCGCAUCGAGGGCUCGAAAAAAUUGCCGGGCUCCGGCUCGGCUUUCAACGCGACCCCAGGUCAGGCGGGGUUACCCGCUGAAUUUUAGCAUAUCAAUAAGCGGAGGA
rnacentral:misc_RNA from 1 species